UACGGGGGGAGCAAGCGUUGUUCGGAUUUACUGGGCGUAAAGGGCGCGUAGGCGGUCAGCACAAGUCAGUUGUGAAAUCUCCGGGCUUAACUCGGAAAGGUCAACUGAUACUGUGCGACUAGAGUGCGGAAGGGGCAACUGGAAUUCUCGGUGUAGCGGUGAAAUGCGUAGAUAUCGAGAGGAACACCUGCGGCGAAGGCGGUUCUCUGGGACGGUACUGACGCUGAGGAGCGAAAGCGUGGGGAGCGAACAGG
rnacentral:rRNA from 1 species